GGUUCCUACGGGAGGCAGCAGUGGGGAAUAUUGCACAAUGGGGGAAACCCUGAUGCAGCAACGCCGCGUGAGUGAGGAAGUAUUUCGGUAUGUAAAGCUCUAUCAGCAGGGAAUAGAAAAGAAGGUACCUGAAAAAGAAGCCCCGGCUAACUACGUGCCAGCAGCCGCGGUAAUACGUAGGGGGCAAGCGUUAUCCGGAUUUACUGGGUGUAAAGGGAGCGUAGACGGAAAGGCAAGUCAGAAGUGAAAGCCCAAGGCUCAACCAUGGGACUGCUUGUGAAACUGUCAAACUCGAGUACGGGGGG
rnacentral:rRNA from 1 species